GACGAACGCUGGCGGCGUGCUUAACACAUGCAAGUCGAACGGAAAGGCCCUGCUCUUGUGGGGUGCUCGAGUGGCGAACGGGUGAGUAACACGUGAGUAACCUGCCCUUGACUUUGGGAUAACUUCAGGAAACUGGGGCUAAUACCGGAUAGGAGCUCCUGCUGCACGGGGGGGGUUGGAAAGAUUCGGCGGUUGGGGAUGGACUCGCGGCUUAUCCGCUUGUUGGGGGAGUAGUGGCUUACCAAGGCUUUGACGGCUAGCCGGCCUGAGAGGGUGAACGGCGACAUUGCGACUGAGAUACGGCCCAGACUGCUACGGGAGGCAGCAGUGGGGAGUAUUGCACAAUGGGCGGAAGCCUGAUGCAGCAACGCCGCGUGCGGGAUGACGGCCUUCGGGUUGUAAACCGCUUUCGCCUGUGCCGAAGCGUGAGUGACGGUAAUGGGUAAAGAAGCACCGGCUAACUACGUG
rnacentral:rRNA from 1 species